UACAGAGGUCCCAAGCGUUGUUCGGAUUCACUGGGCGUAAAGGGUGCGCAGGUGGGUUUGCAAGUUCGAUGUGAAAGCCCCGGGCUUAACCCGGGAAUGGCAUUGGAUACUGCAGAUCUGGAGGAUCGGAGGGGGGACUGGAAUUCUUGGUGUAGCAGUGAAAUGCGUAGAUAUCAAGAGGAACACCUGCGGCGAAGGCGGGUUGCUGGGCUGACACUGACGCUGAUGCGCGAAAGCUAGGGGAGCGAACGGG
rnacentral:rRNA from 1 species